UUUUGCACAAAUCUCCCAAAGCCCUAGGUGAUAUAUUUUUCCUUUUUUUGGUGGUUCAAUGCUGUAACAAUUGUUAAUCCAAAUGGCUUCAAUUCUCCGAAAAGCUCUCAGAAACCAAUUUCGAUCAAGAAUUCUCAAGAACCUUAAUAAAUCCGAACCAGCAAUUCUCAGUUCUACACCACAAAUCUUGGCCCAUCCACCUUGCAGCAGACAUAAUCAGAUACCCUUUUUUCUCCAAAGAGAAACAGUGGAUUCAAAAUUGAAUCUUUACCCAAGUUUUUCUUUUGGUCUUUUUCUUGACCCAAAUGGGUUUUUUCUUAACCCUAUUUCUCCAAAUGAAUUGGUUAAAUCCGAGAACGAUGAAAACCAAGACUCAGUAAAGAUUUGGGCGGAUAGUGUGAAGAAAAAGAGGAAGAGGAAGAUGAACAAGCAUAAAUUGAAGAAGCUUAGGAAGUGCUUGAGGAGAAAAACGUAAUUUUGUGUUAAUCUGGCAUAUUGUGAAGCCAGUUGAGAACCGAGUGCAUUUAGAUAUUGACCACUUUGAGGCUUGUGAUGCUUAAAAUCUGGCCCAUGUCCCAGGGGUGUCUGAGCUACUUGUUUCAGCAUGCUCAGAUUCCCACAUCCCUACUUAAGCUAUUGUUAUGUUAAGUCUAGUCUGCUUAAACAACGUGUUUUUACCAGAGAUUCUACAUGUUGGGUUAUAAUCUGCCCAUCUACGAUUUCCCCGGCGCAGUAGUAUGUUCUGGGCAGGUGUAGCUUAACUGUAUGUUUCUCAUAUCUCAACUAAUGUCCUAACCAAGGGGUGUAUAGUUGAGGUGAAUGCCAUAUUUCUUGUAAGGGGCAAUGUACUUAAUGCCGGAGAAUAUUCUUUAUUAAAUGCUACUGGGUGGCAGACAUUUAUUUCA